GCCUCCUUAGCUCAAUGGUAGAGCAACGGUUUUGUAAACCGUCGACGACCGUUCGAUUUCGGUCAGGAGGCU
rnacentral:tRNA from 1 species